rnacentral:lncRNA from 1 species
GUGAAAAAUAAUGUUCUUCCAAUUCUUGAACCAAUGCAUACAAACAUCAUAAACUUAGUCUUCUGUGCACGAAUUUAUCAUUUUUUUCGCAUAAAUUUCGUAUAAUCGUCAAUUUUUUUUUUUCAAUCGGUCAGUGUUGUUGUGAAAAUAUGGCAGGUAAUUAAGGCUCGUGUUUUGAAGCCGAAGUUUAACGAUUGUCACCUGUUUGUCAACAAUCAACAAAAAAUCAACAAAAAAGCAUGGAAAUUGAGCACGUGUUCAACAUGUAAAUUCAGA